rnacentral:lncRNA from 1 species
UGGGGAGAUAUUCAGUCUAGAGACGAAGAAAGACCACACUUGCAUAUUGUAGUCACGAUAAAAAAAAAGAGAUGAUGUCUGAUCUCAUUGUAGCCAACGCACAACACACAAGUUGGAGGCACCGUCAGACCCCUACGAAGGAGUCUAUCUCGUGUAACCAUCCUAUCUCUUGCUGCCACCCAAGAAAGGAACACAUGUUUCGGGAUACGCCCUGAUAACCAGACAACCUUGUGCCAAAAUACUUCCAUCGUGCAAGGAAAUAAAACCUUCCAAGUCUCACUAGUGGAGAAUGUCUCUAAACCGCUGGCCAUUAGUAAGCCAAAUAUAUGUAUCAUCCACUUCUGAAUCUUGUAUUUGUGCUCUAAAGUUUGAUUUAGUUAUGCUGGUUAUAGCCAGUGUAUGUAGAGU